GUGGGGAAUAUUGGGCAAUGGGCGCAAGCCUGACCUAACAACGCCGCGUGAGGGAAGAAGGCUUUCGGGUUGUAAACCUCUGUCCUUGGUGACGAAACAAAUGACGGUAGCCAAGGAGGAAGCCCCGGCUAACUACGUGCCAGCAGCCGCGGUAAUACGUAGGGGGCGAGCGUUGUCCGGAAUUACUGGGCGUAAAGGGUGCGUAGGUGGCCUUUUAAGUUGGAUGUGAAAUACCCGGGCUUAACUUGGGGGGUGCAUCCAAAACUGGGAGGCUAGAGUGCAGGAGAGGAAAGCGGAAUUCCUAGUGUAGCGGUGAAAUGCGUAGAUAUUAGGAGGAACACCAGUGGCGAAGGCGGCUACCUGGACCGAUAUUGACGCUGAGGCGCGAAAGCCAGGGGAGCGAACGGGAUUAGAUACCCCAGUAGUCC
rnacentral:rRNA from 1 species